AUAUAACUGUAUGUUCUAUAUUUCUAUCUGACUGUCAGUAGAGUAGGUUUGCUUACACCAGCAUGGCCAUAAACAUGUGAGUGAUACAUUGCACUAUGAUAUCACAGCAGCUAUGAUGUCAUCAGGCAAUAGAAAUUUGUUAGCUCCAUUACAAGCUUAUGGGAUCACUGAUAUUGCGUGGUCUAUUAUUGACCAAGAUGUCAUUAUGCAUACAUAACUUUAAUUGAACAUCUUUUAAAGAGGCUAAAAGAAGGGAGAAUCUUCUGCCUUGAUUCCCAGUGUCCAUAUGCAAAGAUAUUGACUGUUGUCCAUGAUGCAAAAAGCAGGAUGUGUUGCAGCCAACCACACCAUCUUUCAGUUCCAGGCACGAGCUCAGUAAGAACAGUCUUCUUAAAGGCAUGAUCACUGUGACACACACGUGUGACUUGGACUCUAAUGAAGGAACCAGCAAGUUAGUCACCAGUCGCCUCCACUAAUAAGGCGAGGAUGUGAUACAGGUUUGAGCAGGGAAGGCCUUUG
rnacentral:lncRNA from 13 species